rnacentral:rRNA from 1 species
GAUCGGACACACAAUGGACGGACCCUGUCUAGCAGUGAUCAGUCACGCAGCGUGUGCACCUGAAUGUUAUGGGCCUAUUGAAUAACACCGCCUAUUCGUACGAGCAGCGUAGGCAUCCUCGCCAUGAACGAAGUCGAGAGAACGCCGCUUGAUGAUUAGUUUCGGAUCGUAAGCUUGUGUAGGAAAGACAACUACGUCGAUAGGCCGUACUGACGUACUAACAAAAGCAGACUACUACGUGCCGCAGCUGCGUAUAUGUAGCUGCUAGUCGUAGUCAGACUCAUGGGCGUAAGUGGCUCGCCGGCCGUUUCAUAAGUAUGAUGUGACAGCCCCCCGGCUCCACCGGGGAGGGUCAUUGAAACUGGGGAACGUGAGUGCAGUAGAGGAGAGAGGCACCUCCCACGAGUAGCGAUGAAUUGUGUAGAGAUGUGGAGGAACACCGAGUGGCGACGGCGACUCUCUGGUCUGUAACUGACGUUGAGGAGCGAUAGCGUGGGAGAGCGAACCGGAUGAGAUACCGUGGUUGUCCACGCUGUAAACGAUGAAUGCUAAGUGUUAGGGGGUCUCCGCCCUUUAGUGCUGCAGCUAACGCAUUAAGCACUCCGCCUGGGGAGUACGGUCGCAAGACUGAAACUCAAAGGAAUUGACGGGGGCCCGCACCAGCGGUGGAGCAUGUGGUUUAAUUCGAAGCAACGCGAAGAACCUUACCAGGUCUUGACAUCCUCUGACAAUCCGAGAGAUAGGACGUCCCCUUCGGGGGCAGAGUGACAGGUGGUGCAUGGUUGUCGUCAGCUCGUGUCGUGAGAUGUUGGGUUAAGUCCCGCAACGAGCGCAACCCUUGAUCUUAGUUGCCAGCAUUCAGUUGGGCACUCUAAGGUGACUGCCGGUGACAAACCGGAGGAAGGUGGGGAUGACGUCAAAUCAUCAUGCCCCUUAUGACCUGGGCUACACACGUGCUACAAUGGACAGAACAAAGGGCAGCGAAACCGCGAGGUUAAGCCAAUCCCACAAAUCUGUUCUCAGUUCGGAUCGCAGUCUGCAACUCGACUGCGUGAAGCUGGAAUCGCUAGUAAUCGCGGAUCAGCAUGCCGCGGUGAAUACGUUCCCGGGCCUUGUACACACCGCCCGUCACACCACGAGAGUUUGUAACACCCGAAGUCGC